GACGAACGCUGGCGGCGUGCUUAACACAUGCAAGUCGAACGGAAAGGCCUCUUUCGGGGGGUACUCGAGUGGCGAACGGGUGAGUAACACGUGAGUAACCUGCCCUUGACUUUGGGAUAACUUCGGGAAACUGGGGCUAAUACCGGAUAGGAGCUCCUGCUGCAUGGUGGGGGUUGGAAAGUUUCGGCGGUUGGGGAUGGACUCGCGGCUUAUCAGCUUGUUGGUGGGGUAGUGGCUUACCAAGGCUUUGACGGGUAGCCGGCCUGAGAGGGUGACCGGCCACAUUGGGACUGAGAUACGGCCCAGACUCCUACGGGAGGCAGCAGUGGGGAAUAUUGCACAAUGGGUGGAAGCCUGAUGCAGCAACGCCGUGUGCGGGAGGACGGCCUUCGGGUUGUAAACCGCUUUCGCUCAUGACGAAGCUUUGUGUGACGGUAGUGGGUAAAGAAGCACCGGCUAACUACGUG
rnacentral:rRNA from 1 species